GCCUGGGUGGCUCAGUCAGUUGAACGUCCGACUUCGGCUCGGGUCAUGAUCUCGCGGUCUGUGGGUUCAAGCCCCGCGUCAGGCU
rnacentral:tRNA from 1 species